rnacentral:rRNA from 1 species
GAUGAACGCUAGCUACAGGCUUAACACAUGCAAGUCGAGGGGUAACGAGAGGAAAGCUUGCUUUCCUUGUUGACGACCGGCGCACGGGUGAGUAACGCGUAUCCAACCUGCCCCCAACUAGGGAAUAACCUUGCGAAAGUAAGACUAAUACCCUAUAAUUUCCUCAGAUGUCAUCUGGCGAGGAAUAAAGAUUUAUCGGUUGUGGAUGGGGAUGCGUCUGAUUAGCUUGUUGGCGGGGUAACGGCCCACCAAGGCAACGAUCAGUAGGGGUUCUGAGAGGAAGGUCCCCCACAUUGGAACUGAAACACGGUCCAAACGCCUACGGGAGGCAGCAGUGAGGAAUAUUGGUCAAUGGGCGGAAGCCUGAACCAGCCAAGUAGCGUGCAGGAUGACGGCCCUAUGGGUUGUAAACUGCUUUUAUACAGGAAUAAAGUUAGCCACGUGUGGUUAUUUGUAGGUACUGUAUGAAUAAGGACCGGCUAAUUCCGUGCCAGCCGCCGCCGUAA